UAUAAUGACCAAUAUAAUGGCUGACACACAGUUAAGAAUUAUGCGAGUGGCAACUGGGCCAUUGAAAACUCAGCAACAUAAAGAAGAAGAAAUUGUCAUGGAAAUGACUUCAUCUAUCCGUACCUGCUGUCGGACUUUAGGUAGCACCGACUCUGCUCGGACUUUAGUUAGCACUGUAUGUGCAGGAAAUGAAAUUCCAAAUUGGUUCUG